CUCUUUAGGGAACUGAAGGAUGUUACAGCCUGUACUACAAUUGCUGGUAUUCUUUGUGGUACUUUUGGGUCUGCAUUUUCAUAGUGAUAGCUGUUGUAAUUGGUAUCUGUGGUGGAGUAGCACGUAAGCGCCAUUUGGCAAGACAGAGAAUUACAGUAACAACUACCCCAGUGGCCCCACAAAGCAACGUCGUGAUGAGCGUUACCAACACUCACAAUGUACACAGUCAGAUGGUACAGCCGCCUCCCUACCAGCCC